UACGAAGGGGGCUAGCGUUGCUCGGAAUCACUGGGCGUAAAGGGUGCGUAGGCGGGUCUUUAAGUCAGGGGUGAAAUCCUGGAGCUCAACUCCAGAACUGCCUUUGAUACUGAGGAUCUUGAGUUCGGGAGAGGUGAGUGGAACUGCAAGUGUAGAGGUGAAAUUCGUAGAUAUUCGCAAGAACACCAGUGGCGAAGGCGGCUCACUGGCCCGGUACUGACGCUGAGGCACGAAAGCGUGGGGAGCAAACAGG
rnacentral:rRNA from 1 species